rfam:Schistosoma margrebowiei strain Zambia genome assembly, scaffold: SMRZ_contig0000012
AUGCAGGUGACGAGUCCCAAAUAGGACGAAACGUGUGUCAUGUAU